GAUGAAGAACGUAGUGAAAUGCGAUAAGUAAUGUGAAUUGCAGAAUUCAGUGAAUCAUCGAAUCUUUGAACGCACAUUGCGCCCCUUGGUAUUCCGAGGGGCAUGCCUAUUCGAGCGUCAUUAUCACCCCUCAAGCCUAGCUUGGUGUUGGGGCUUGCUGUAAAGGCAGCCUCUAAAAUCAGUGGCAGUGCUGUCAGGCUCUAAGCGUAGUAAAUUCAUCGCUAUAGGGUCCUGGUGGAUACUCGUCAAAACCCCCCAGUUUUAAUGAUUGACCUCGGAUUAGGUAGGGAUACCCGCUGAACUUAAGCAUAUCAAUAAGCGGAGGA
rnacentral:misc_RNA from 1 species